CCCUACGGGGGGCAGCAGUGAGGAAUAUUGGUCAAUGGGCUUACGCCUGAACCAGCCAAGUCGCGUGAGGGAAGACUGCCCUAUGGGUUGUAAACCUCUUUUGUCAGGGAGCAAUUAGCGCUACGUGUAGCGUUAUCGAGAGUACCUGAAGAAAAAGCAUCGGCUAACUCCGUGCCAGCAGCCGCGGUAAUACGGAGGAUGCGAGCGUUAUCCGGAUUUAUUGGGUUUAAAGGGUGCGUAGGCGGAAUGCCAAGUCAGCGGUAAAAUCGCGGGGCUCAACCUCGCUCCGCCGUUGAAACUGGCGU
rnacentral:rRNA from 1 species